AGACAUUCAGAGCACUGAUAUGCCAUUCAGUGUGAUCAGACCAUUCCUUAUUUAAAAACAGUCAUUGGUCCAUUCAUAAGAUUCAGGCAGAGAGCUCGAAUUGAAAUUCUGUGGUCGCUGUUUACCCAGUGGUAUCCUGCCGCAUUGAAAGAUGACAAGCGAGGAUACGAAACAGUCACUCACCGUACAGACUGAGGUGGCCCUAUACCAAACAGUCACUCACCGUACAGACUAAGGUGGCCCUAUACCAAACAGUCACUCACCGUACAGACUAAGGUGGCCCUAUACCAAACAGUCACUCACCAUACAGACUAAGGUAGCCCUAUACCAAACAGUCACUCACCAUACAGACUGAGGUGGCCCUAUACCAAACAGUCACUCACCAUACAGACUAAGGUGGCCCUAUACCAAACAGUCACUCACCAUACAGACUAAGGUGGCCCUAUACCAAACAGUCACUCACCAUACAGACUAGGGUGGCCCUAUACCAAACAGUCACUCACCAUACAGACUAAGGUGGCCCUAUACCAAACAGUCACUCACCGUACAGACUAAGGUGGCCCUAUACCAAACAGUCACUCACCAUACAGACUAAGGUGGCCCUAUACCAAACAGUCACUCACCAUACAGACUAAGGUGGCCCUAUACCAAACAGUCACUCACCAUACAGACUAAGGUGGCCCUAUACCAAACAGUCACUCACCAUACAGACUAAGGUGGCCCUAUACCAAACAGUCACUCACCAUACAGACUAAGGUGGCCCUAUACCAAACAGUCACUCACCGUACAGACUAAGGUGGCCCUAUACCAAACAGUCACUCACCAUACAGACUAAGGUGGCCCUAUACCAAACAGUCACUCACCAUACAGACUAAGGUGGAUCUAUACCAAACAGUCACUCACCGUACAGACUAAGGUGGCCCUAUACCAAACAGUCACUCACCGUACAGACUAAGGUGGCCCUAUACCAAACAGUCACUCACCAUACAGACUAAGGUGGCCCUAUACCAAACAGUCACUCACCAUACAGACUAAGGUGGCCCUAUACCAAACAGUCACUCACCGUACAGACUAAGGUGGCCCUAUACCAAACAGUCACUCACCAUACAGACUAGGUGGCCCUAUACCAAACAGUCACUCACCGUACAGACUAAGGUGGCCCUAUACCAAACAGUCACUCACCGUACAGACUAAGGUGGCCCUAUACCAAACAGUCACUCACUGUACAGACUAAGGUGGAUCUACACCAAACCCCUGUCAUGCUACUGUUCUCUCUCUCUCUGCUCUGUGAUGACAUUCACAGUGACUUAAGACCUCCAACACCAUCCAGUAACGUCUACAGGUGUGAAUCCUGAUUAUCUACAGGUGUGCGUAAUGAUGAUCUACAGGUGUGCGUAAUGAUGAUCUACAGGUGUGAAUCCUGAUGAUCUACAGGUGUGAAUCCUGAUGAUCUACAGGUGUGCGUAAUGAUGAUCUACAGGUGUGAAUCAUGAUGAUCUACAGGUGUGAAUCCUGAUGAUCUACAGGUGUGAAUCCUGAUGAUCUACAGGUGUGCGUAAUGAUGAUCUACAGGCGUGAAUCAUGAAGAUCUACAGGUGUGCGUAAUGAUGAUCUACAGGCGUGAAUCAUGAAGAUCUACAGGUGUGCGUAAUGAUGAUCUACAGGCGUGAAUCAUGAAGAUCUACAGGUGUGCGUAAUGAAGAAUCCAAGGCCCGGUGGUUAGUAAUCCGGCGACGUCGAACGCCGGAGGGGAGGAGCAGGAGGAGUCGACGUGGCAGGAAUAGGGGGCCAUUUGUGACACAAGCCAGGGGUAAAAGGAGAAGGAAGGAGGCUCCGAGCGGAGGAGGAGGAAGUGCCAGGAUGUUUGCUGAACUCGUCAGUGCGUGACCGGGCCGGGAAGUGUGGGGCACUAGGUAAACAUUAUAAGGCUAUCUCAACCCCCCCUUCCCCUCUACUCCACCUCUCCACAGAGCACAGAGAGCUCUUUAUCCCCACGCUGCCUCUCAAGGAGGGGAACACAGCUCUGCUACAGUCAAGAGAAGAAGACAUGAUUCACUCCCAGGCCGUGUCUCUACAUCAGGGAAGAAGACAUGAUUCACUCCCAGGCCGUGUCUCUACAUCAGGGAAGAAGAAGACAUGAUUCACUCCCAGGCCGUGUCUCUACAUCAGGGGAGGAGAAGACAUGAUUCACUCCCAGGCCGUGUCUCUACAUCAGGGAAGAAGAAGACAUGAUUCACUCCCAGGCCGUGUCUCUACAUCAGGGAAGAAGAAGACAUGAUUCACUCCCAGGCCGUGUCUCUACAUCAGGGAAGAAGAAGACAUGAUUCACUCCCAGGCCGUGUCUCUACAUCAGGGAAGAAGAAGACAUGAUUCACUCCCAGACCGUGUCUCUACAUCAGGGAAGAAGAAGACAUGAUUCACUCCCAGACCGUGUCUCUACAUCAGGGGAGAAGAAGACAUGAUUCACUCCCAGGCCGUGUCUCUACAUCAGGGAAGAAGACGACAUGAUUCACUCCCAGGCCGUGUCUCUACAUCAGGGAAGAAGAAGACAUGAUUCACUCCCAGGCCGUGUCUCUACAUCAGGGAAGAAGACGACAUGAUUCACUCCCAGGCCGUGUCUCUACAUCAGGGAAGAAGAAGACAUGAUUCACUCCCAGGCCGUGUCUCUACAUCAGGGAAGAAGACGACAUGAUUACAUUUACAUUUACAUUUACAUUUACAUUUAAGUCAUUUAGCAGACGCUCUUAUCCAGAGCGACUUACAAAUUGGUGCAUUCACCUUAUGACAUCCAGUAGAAAUAGUCACUUUACAAUAGUGCAUCUAAAUC